GAAAUGCGAUAAGUAAUGUGAAUUGCAGAAUUCAGUGAAUCAUCGAAUCUUUGAACGCACAUUGUGCCCGCCAGUAUUCUGGCGGGCAUGCCUGUUCGAGCGUCAUUUCAACCAUCAAGCCCCGCGCUUGUGUUGGGGACCUGCGGCUGCCGCAGGCCCUGAAAACCAGUGGCGGGCUCGCUGUCACACCGGGCGUAGUAGAUUUUAUCUCGCUCAGGGCGUGCUGCGGGUUCCGGCCGUUAAAAAGCCUUUUUUACCCAAGGUUGACCUCGGAUCAGGUAGGAAGACCCGCUGAACUUAAGC
rnacentral:misc_RNA from 1 species